rnacentral:rRNA from 1 species
CAAAUAUUACAUAGGGGGUCCUGCCUGCCCAGUGACAAAAAGUUAAACGGCCGCGGUAUCUUGACCGUGCGAAGGUAGCAUAAUCACUUGUCUCCUAAAUAGAGACUGGUAUGAAUGGCAAGACGGAACUUAACUGUCUCCUUUUCUCACAUCUUAAUUUCACUCUCCCGUGAAGAGGCGGGAAAACAUUCGCUAGACGAGAAGACCCUGUCGAGCUUAAGCAAAAUACUAAUUUUUAUAUUCUUCUUAGUUAUGUUCUAAUUCUUUCUAUUAAACACAACUUAGUAAAAAUUAUUAGUACAAGCUUUGGUUGGGGCAACCGCGGAGAAGAAGAAUCCUCCGCUUACAAAUAUAUAAAAAUAAGACCCUACAAGUCUAAUAUUAUAUAAAUAAGUCAACUGAUCCACCACGGUGAUCAAAGGAAAAAGUUACCGCAGGGAUAACAGCGUUAUCUUUUCUGAGAGUUCACAUUGACGAAAAGGUUUGCGACCUCGAUGUUGGAUCGGGACAUCCUAAGGGUGCAGAAGCUUUUAAGGGUUGGUCUGUUCGACCAUUAAAGUCCU